ACCUGGGUGGCUCAGUGGUUGAGCUUCUGACUUUGGCUCAGCUAGUGAUUCCCGGGUC
rnacentral:tRNA from 1 species